rnacentral:lncRNA from 1 species
CGGAUGGAUUUCGGACGGCCUCCUGCAAGAACCGGACUCCGUCCGAACUUCCACAGUGGACAAAUUUUGGAUGAGCUUCUGCAAGAACCGGACUCCGUCCGAACUUCCACAGUGGAUGGAUUCUGGACAAGCUUCUGCAAGUACAGGACUCCAUUCGAACUUCCACAGCGGAUGGAUUUCGGACGAGCUUUUGCAACAGACGGGCUCCAGCAGCCGGAUUUCUACAACGGUCAAUCGCCCCUGGAUCCCUCAGACUCCUCCAGC